rnacentral:lncRNA from 1 species
GAGGUUACUAACGGAAGGAAGCUCUACAUCCCUCCACGAGAAGUGCAUGUCCAAGUUAAACACUCCAUGCCGCCGCAAAAGCUCGAGAUGUUCAAAUCCUUGGAAGGAUGGGCUGACGAGACCCUCUUGACCUACUUAAAACCCGUCGAGAAGUCGUGGCAGCCGACAGAUUUUCUCCCGGAAGCCGAGUCAGAAGGGUUCUAUGACCAAGUCAAAGAGUUAAGGGAACGGUGUAAGGAGCUUCCCGACGAGUAUUUCGUGGUGCUUGUCGGUGAUAUGAUCACUGAAGAAGCGCUUCCGACUUACCAGACCAUGUUGAACACGUUGGAUGGUGUUAGGGAUGAGACGGGAGCUAGUCCUACUCCUUGGGCGGUGUGGACUAGGGCGUGGACUGCUGAAGAGAAUAGGCAUGGGGAUUUGCUUAACAAGUAUCUUUAUUUGUCUGGGAGAGUUGACAUGAGGCAGAUUGAGAAGACUAUUCAGUACCUUAUUGGCUCUGGAAUGGUAAGCUUCUCUGAUUUGUAUUCUAUGUUUCUCAUGUAUGAUUAAUUUAUAGGCCUGCCGGUUCGGGUAAAAUUUUGCUGAAUUGAACCGUAAAAAAGUUCGGUUCGGUUCUUGGCUAGUUCGUAUCAAAAAAUUUUACCGAAAUUUUUGGUUUAAAUUGAAUAAAAUUCAAAAAAAAAUUUUGUUCGGAUUUUGAUUAGUUCUGUUAUUUUGAUUCGGAUUUUGGUUAGUUCGGUUCGGAUUUUCGGUUAAUAUUGGUACUGUUUGAUUGUUUUUGUUACCAAACAUCCGAACCGAAAACCGAACUUUUCGGUUCGGUUCGGUUAAAAAUCCCAGCUCUAAUUAAUUAUAUAUGACUGAUAUUGUUUUAUCUUCUUAGGAUCCAAAAACUGAAAACAACCCUUACUUGGGUUUCAUCUACACAUCCUUUCAAGAAAGAGCGACCUUCAUCUCCCAUGGAAACACUGCCAGACACGCUAAAGAUCUUGGAGAUUUGAAACUUGCGCAGAUAUGCGGGACCAUUGCUGCUGACGAGAAGCGCCACGAGACUGCUUACACCAAGAUUGUGGAGAAGCUCUUCGAAAUCGACGCUGAUGGCACCAUCUUGGGAUUGGCUGAUAUGAUGAAGAAAAAGAUCUCGAUGCCUGCGCAUUUGAUGUAUGACGGCCAAGAUGAUAACCUGUUUGAGCACUUCUCGACCGUUGCCCAGAGGCUUGGUGUUUACACGGCCAAGGACUAUGCUGAUAUUCUGGAGUUUCUUGUUGAACGGUGGAACGUUGAGACUUUGUCAGGCCUUUCUAGUGAAGGACACAAGGCUCAGGUAAAAUUACCAUCAUUAAACUUGUGAUGAAACCUAUCAGCUUAUGAAGUCUCUCUUAGUAGGUUUCUUCGUCAUGAAUAUAAUAUACUAGCUGGACGGCUUGAUCUGUUUUGUGUAUUUGAUCGGGGACAUGAACUUGAAUUCUGACUCUGUCAUUGCCUCUGACAGGACUUUGUCUGUGGAUUACCUGCAAGAAUCCGCAAGAUUGAAGAGAGAGCUCAAGGAAGAGCCAAAGAAGCAGCCAAAAACGUACCAUUCAGCUGGAUUUUUGGUCGGGAGAUUAGGGCUUAAGUAAACAUCUCUCUCUCUCUUUCAAAUGAUCCCCGAGUAAGCCGCCAUAAACAUCUCCACCGAUGACGUACCAGUCUUAAGACCUCGAAAGUUCAUUUGAAUAUGUUUUGUUUUAUACGGAACAUUGUAGAUAAUGUUAUGUUUUCUUGUUAGUCGAAGACCAUAAAAUGGUGUUUUGAGUGUUCCUAGUGAGUGAUAAUGUCUGGUUACCAAGAACAAAAAGACUUUUAAGAGUUUGGUUUUCUAUUUUCGAUUCUCUUUUUUGUUGUACCAGUACUUAAUAAUGUUCUCCCAUAAGCAAAGAACGGUUUGUAAUUUAAACCUCUUGUUCAAGUAACAACCAACCAAAAAGUGACCGUUUUAUUACCAUAACAAAGAUGAAACUUAAAAAUAACGUUUUAAUACAAUUGAAACGGAGUAAAGUCUUAUUAGAUGAAACCAUAACUGCAAACGCACAAAUCAAAACUGUUUCUUCUUUUACUCUCAAAUUAAAAGAAGAAGAAAGACUCUGUUCACGAUCUUGUUUAGCUUCUAAAAACUUUAAAGAUCAUGUUUCCCAAGAAACCAGCUGAUUCAUCUACCACACAUCAACACAGCUUCGACGAGUCUCGAUGGGUCAACAACGUCAGAAAAUCUCUCGACGCAGAGCUCGAAGACCACCCUCUCGAACAAGUCACAGUCAGCAUUUUCACCGUCCCUAAAGCUUUAAUGUCUACCCACCAAGACUCAUACACACCUCAGCGAGUCUCCAUCGGACCUUACCACUGUCUCAAACCAGAGCUUCACGAAACAGAGAGGUACAAACUAACGAUCGCUAGAAAAUUUCGAAACAAUUCCAAAUCUUUCAGGUUUCACGACCUCGUCGAGAAGCUGCAAUCAUUGGAGGCCAAGAUCAGAGCUUGCUAUCAUAAGUACAUCGCGCUGAGCGACGAGACUCUGCUGUGGAUAAUGGCGAUCGACUCUUCGUUCUUGAUCGAGUUUCUUAAGGUUUAUUACGGUUUCGGAAAGGUCGAGACUUUGAUUAACAGAGUCGGCCACAACGAGAUUCUUAGAGAUGUAAUGAUGUUAGAGAAUCAAAUCCCGUUGUUCGUUUUGAGGAAAACGCUCGAAGUUCAGCUCGAAUCGAAGGAAUCAGCUGAUGCUCUGUUGGUCUCUGUUCUCACUGGACUCUGCAGAGACCUCUCUCCCCUCGUUGUUAAAUUCGAAGAUGGUGAGAUUCUGAAGGCUGAGAUUCAUGAGUGCAAUCAUAUCCUAGACUUCUUGUAUCAGAUGAUCGUUCCAAGAAUCGAAGAAGAAGAGGAAGAAGAAGAAGAAAACAGAGCAGGCGAAAACAGAGCAUGUAAGCUUCUGAGAGAGAUGAAGCUUCAGUUCAAAAGGGUCUUCGCGUCUCGACCUGCUGAUGUCAUCCUGAGACUCCCAUGGAGAGUCAUAUCGAAUCUCCCCGGCUUCAUCGCUAUACUUUUAUCAAUGGGUCACACUGCUAUUUUAAUAGAAUAGAUGUGAUAUAAAUUUUAUGAUUAGUUAAUGAUUCCCUAUUUGCGUAUAUUGACGUUCGUGCAAGUCUUGAUAAUAAACGAUUUAAAUCUGACAUGUAUUCUUCGACUCUUCGGUUAGAAUAGUAGUUGUUGAUUUUUGAAAAUAAAAGUAGUCGAAAGUCCACCCAUCUCUCGAUUAAAAUGGUAACAAACGGUUGCAUAUUUAUCAUGCGUCCAAAACAAUAUAACUGUCCAAUAACUAAAUUACCUUUAUGCCAUUAGUGAAGGGUAACUAGACCUUUGUAAAAGUGAUGGUAAAAUAAGUAAUAUAAAUAGUUGGACUAAACUUAUAUCAAUAGGUCAAGAUGUUAGUUUUUAAUAUAAUAGACUAAAUUCUGACCCGUCCUUUAAGGACGGGUAUAUUUUUUGUUUUACAUCUUUUUAGGUCUUUUCAAUUGGUAAUUUAAAUAUAAGUUUAAUAACAUAAAGCAUAAUAAAUAAUAUUUUAAAUAAUGAUAAAGAUAAAAAAAAUAAUAAUUGGACAUACUUUUAUCAAUGGGUCACAGUGCUAUUUUAAUAGAAUAGAUGUGAUAUAAAUUUUAUGAUUAGUUAAUGAUUCCCUAUUUGCGUAUAUUGACGUUCGUGCAAGUCUUGAUAAUAAACGAUUUAAAUCUGACAUGUAUUCUUCGACUCUUCGGUUAGAAUAGUAGUUGUUGAUUUUUGAAAAUAAAAGUAGUCGAAAGUCCACCCAUCUCUCGAUUAAAAUGGUAACAAACGGUUGCAUAUUUAUCAUGCGUCCAAAACAAUAUAACUGUCCAAUAACUAAAUUACCUUUAUGCCAUUAGUGAAGGGUAACUAGACCUUUGUAAAAGUGAUGGUAAAAUAAGUAAUAUAAAUAGUUGGACUAAACUUAUAUCAAUAGGUCAAGAUGUUAGUUUUUAAUAUAAUAGACUAGAUUCUGACCCGUCCUUAAAGGACGGGUAUAUUUUUUGUUUUACAUCUUUUUAGGUCUUUUCAAUUGGUAAUUUAAAUAUAAAUUUAAUAACAUAAAGCAUAAUAAAUAAUAUUUUAAAUAAUGAUAAAGAUAAAAGAAAUAAUAAUUGGACCAUACUUUUAUCAAUGGGUCACACUGCUAUUUUAAUAGAAUAGAUUUAAAUAUAGGUCUAAUGGCAUAAAACAUAAUAAAUAAUAUUUUAAAUAAUGAUAAAGAUAAAAGAAAUAAUAGUUGGACGAUACUUUUAUCAAUGGGUCACACUGCUAUUUUAAUAGAAUAGAUUCUGGAUGAUGUGGUUAUGUCUAAAAGGACACUUAUUUUGCCAGGUCCGGUUCGUGUAGUCUUGUUAGCCUGUUCUUAAGUAAAGAGCGUUGGAUUAUGACCAGUUUAAGGUCUGUAUCUACUCUUACACGUUUAAAAUAAGUGCAGAUUUAAUAAUGGUUCUAGCUGGGCCAGAGUGGACCGGCUAGUAUUAGACGUACCAUAACCAAGGACUACGUUAUUCAACAUAUAACCGCGUAAUGAGAAUAUGAUAUAAUUUGGGGUGAUGGUUCUGUAGAUAACUAAUAAAUGCAUGGAAGAACUAACUUACCAUGCCAAGGAACAGCAUGUGCACAUUAUCAUAACUCACAAAGCCUCUCUGUCAUCUACGCAGAGAUUCUUUCUCUCUCAAACACUCAUAAACACAUUAAUUAUCCGCUAGAGUUUGACUUUUUUUCCCGGAGGAAACAUGGCGUCGAACCAUGAGUUUCUUGCUCGGUUCGUCGAGGAGACAACGUUUUACAACCGAAUAGUUCUGAGCCACCUUUUGCCGGCGAAUCUAUGGGAGCCUUUGCCACAUUUCCUCCAAACAUGGCUCCGGAACUACCUAGCCGGAAACUUACUUUACUUCAUCUCCGGCUUCCUCUGGUGCUUCUACAUCUAUUACCUUAAACUCAACGUUUACGUCCCUCAAGGUGAGAUUAUUUUUUCAGUUCGUCUUAUUUUUGAGCUCUCUUUUUUUUUAAUGAAUCUACAAUAUUCUUCAGAUUCUGUUCCUACAAGAAAGGCAAUGAUUCUACAAAUAUAUGUGGCAAUGAAGGCUAUGCCUUGGUCCACACUUGUUCCAACUGUCUCUGAGUAUAUAAUCGAGCGUGGUUGGACCAAAUGUUACUCUACACUUGAUCAGUUCAACUGGUGCCUCUGUUUGGUUUACAUCGCGUUUUAUCUUGUUUUAGUUGAGUUUAUGAUUUAUUGGGUUCACAAAAUGACUCAUGACAAUAAAUUUCUCUAUAAGCAUCUCCAUGCAACCCACCAUAUGUACAACAAGCAAAACACACUCUCUCCAUUUGCUGGUUAGUCACAUUCUUAUUUCUUAAGAACUCUCUUUCAAACCUGCUUGCCCUGGGAGUUAACUUUAACCUUAUCUUCGAUAAUGUUGAAACUAACAUUCAAAUCGAACGGCCGGUCUAUAAAUUUGGUGCUAAGAUUCAUGAGUUUCCAACUUAGUUACAAUUGGCAAUAAGUGGAUUGGUCUAGAUGUCUUAUAUAUUAUUUAUGUUUCAUCGAAACUCUUAAUUUGGGGGAUUUUAUUCUUAUACUCUCUUUAGUGAUUAAACUUCAUGACCUAUUAAUCUUUACAUAGUCCCAAUACUUGGUAAUAAAUUUUUUCUGUCAACUUGGUAAUAUAUAACAUUGCUUGAAAGUUUUUCGGGUUUUCAGGGCUUGCGUUCCAUCCAUUGGAUGGGAUACUUCAGGCAGUACCGCAUGUGAUAGCUCUGUUCAUAGUGCCGAUACAUCUCAUAACACAUUUGAGUCUUUUUAUUAUGGAAGGGAUAUGGACAGUGAGCAACCAUGAUUGCAUCAAUGGUAACAUAUGGCCUAUAAUGGGUGCAGGACACCAUACCAUACACCAUACAACAUACAAGCAUAACUAUGGCCAUUAUACCAUAUGCAUGGAUUGGCUGUUUGGCUCACUUAAGGUCCCUUUAGCUGAAGACGACAGCUUUAAUGAGAAAGAAAAGUGAUAUGUUCAACGUACACAUUUUUUUUGUUGUCCUUCAUGUGUUUUUCUACUCCUGAGUCUUAAACCUUUGUAAUAUCACUUUGUUAGAAUAAGAAACAUGAUUGCACUAUUAGCUACAAAGUUUCUUACUUGUCUUCAAAGAAUACUUAGUUUGGUAAGUAGAAGGUUGAUAAAGAUACAACACUAGCAUCUAUAAUAGGCAAAGUUUGUACUUUUCAGUUAAGGUAAGAAAUCUAAAAACAUAAAAAUAGAGAAAAUUAAAGGUAGUAUAAAAUAUAGCCAAGUAUACGCUUUCAUAAUCAACUAGUUCUUGUAGAUGGGUCACAUAGAAAGCAUAAAUAUCUGCCAAUGCUCCCACUUGUGUUGAAUGGGUUGUCCCACAGAGUCACAGAUCUCUAUGCCUACACAUUUAAUAUUGUUAUGGCUCCUUUAACUACUGUGAUGUUUAAGUGCAGACUUUUCUCAGAUCAGAAGAAAACCAGUUAGUUGGGGCAAUGACAUAUUUAGCUCACCAUAAAAUUGCUAAAAAAAAAAGCUCACCAUAAGAAUGAGUUGUGAAAUAUAGAAUCACCAAGUCAUUAUUAGAAACGUUGUCAAUGGAUUUGAUUCUUGAUGUUUAAAACUGUUGGGAUUAGUCGAAGCAUAAUUUAGGCCCAAUAAUUUGACAAAAGAAUGAGUCAUAUAUCAUUCGGCCCAUGGGCCUGUGAAAAAAGCAGCGAAAAAUAUCUGAGUGUGGCAUUGACGUAAAUAAAAGAGCACCUGAGGGAUAUUCUAGAGAAGAAAAAUAAAAGUUGCAUACAUACACAUGUCCAUGGCUCGAUCAUCACGCCCACCCAAAACCUUCACAUUUGUCACAGUCUCGUAGCAGCAAUCAAACAUAGAAAUAAUCGACCUUCGGGAUCCGUCCUUGUUCUUUAUUUAAAUCACUUCCAUUUAUCGAGUUUGUUAGAGUCUUAGAGAAUAAACUAAGAGAAAAAUGGCGAUGGCUAUGAGUCGGAUCGUACUUUCGCCUUCUUCUUACGCCUAUCGUCCUCGUCAAGCUCGUGGAUCCAGAUCCUCCAUUGCUUCUUCGAUUCGUUCCGCUACUACGUGAGCCUUUUCUCCCUUCAUUGUCGUAAUCAUAUGUUUUGCUGAUCUGUGUGUUUUGGAUUGAAUGCCGAUGAUGAAUCUCUGUUAUCACCAAUGUUCAAAAAUAGCUAAGGCUGUAACUAGUCGUAUUAGCAACUAGGCGGAUUAUUUGGAAUCUAGGCCUAGCCUUCCUGGGGUUAACAAAUUAUUGACUGAUUUGAUGUAUUUUUACAUUCGUGUAAGAUAUUUUAGUUUUUAGAUCUAAUUAUAAAAUUAGUUCGAUGAAUUACUAAAAUUAGAUAUAUAUAUAAAACAAAAAAAAAAUAGUCAAAAUUUGUGGAUUUGUACCAACAUUAUUAACAAAUUUAGACUAAUUUAAAUUAAUUUAGAAUGGCUUAAACCGAUUUAAAAUAGCUUAAAUCUUAUAUAAAUCGAAUAUUUUAAAAAACCAUUUCGGCUCGCAUCGAUUUUUAGGACAAAUUUUAUUAUCAUGGUUAUUACUAAUUCAUCGAGGAAGACAUAUAUACUGUCUGAAGCUUAUUGGUGUUUUUUCAGGAUUGUUGUGUGUAGUACUGCUAAGUCUAUUUUAUUUUCAUCACUCGCUCAAGUCCUGAGUUUGAAACUCUAUUUGGUUUAAUUACAGGGAGGUUACUAACGGAAGGAAGCUCUACAUCCCUCCACGAGAAGUGCAUGUCCAAGUUAAACACUCCAUGCCGCCGCAAAAGCUCGAGAUGUUCAAAUCCUUGGAAGGAUGGGCUGACGAGACCCUCUUGACCUACUUAAAACCCGUCGAGAAGUCGUGGCAGCCGACAGAUUUUCUCCCGGAAGCCGAGUCAGAAGGGUUCUAUGACCAAGUCAAAGAGUUAAGGGAACGGUGUAAGGAGCUUCCCGACGAGUAUUUCGUGGUGCUUGUCGGUGAUAUGA